GGAGAUUCACGCACUCAAUUCAUUCGCGUUCACUGAAAGCCCAGGGAGGUGGCGGGUGCAGCAGAGCUCUGGCCAUCCAGGAAGGAAGGGCGCGGCCUGCCUGCUGGGCUGUUUGACAAGCCCCUCCUGGACGUGCUCCUGACCGGCAUGUGCUGGGAGGUGGGCCUGAGAGCAGGAAUCUCUCCGGGCACCUCCCAGACAGACCCGGUUAGGUGUCUCCAGCUCUUCCCCCCGACUGCUGCUGCCGUACCUCCCAGGCGCCCCGCUCUAUCAAUUUGGUCCUUCCUUCCUCUGGGCUUACCGUACAUGGUGAUCAUUCUACUUCUGCAUCCUGAGCUAAGGCACCCUUCCUCCGGAGCUCUAUCUUACAUAAACUAAGAUUCCUAUGGCGCGCUCUGCUCCAGGGCCCCCUCCAGCAAAGCCUUCCUUGUCCCUGGCGGUCUCUACACUCCCUGGGCUGCAUUUGGAAGACCAAAAUAUUUUAUUCUCUAUCUUCAGUGGACCAAGCACACAGAUGCGAGUGUUUCACGGUACAUCAACCGGUCAUCUUCCUCCACUGGAUCGUGAGCUUCUGUGGGGACAGGAACAAUGCCUGCCUGUCUUCCCAGGUAUCCCCUUGCCUAGAACAAUGCACAUGUGCUGGAGGGAUGAAGGGCCAACUCCAGGUUUUAUAGAAGUUGGUAAAGAAGUACUUCGUCUUCCUAGAGAUUCAUGGAAAGGACUACACCAACACAGGAUUCUAACUUUCAGAUCACACCAGUGAACUGGUUAAGAAUUUACAGAACUCUAAUGGAGAAACUGACAGCUUCAUAAAACAUCCAACAAAAUAUCAAGAUCAAUGAUAAUUAAUUACAUGGGACUGAACAAACCGAUAAGGAUAUUUAUAAUUUUUAUAUUUUAUUUGAAAUUGUAUUGGUUCUUUUGUUUUUCCAGAAGAAACCUUUUUCUCUUUUCUUUAAAGUUUUAUUGGCCAUCAGUAAAAUACACCUUUGUCAACAAGAGUGAAACAUUUAUCUUUUUCUCCCUACUUGAUGCCUCCAGAAUUCCAAAACUCUUAGCAAAAUAUCCUUAUUUUCAUAUUGUCAAGAAGAAAAACACACUUGACAAUAUGAAAAUGAUUGUCCAAAAUGGAAUCCGUUAUGCUAGGCCAAGUCACCAAACUGGGGCUCAAUAUCUAACCUGACUGCAGUUUAGGCCUGACCCCCCUGGAAUGUGGUCUUUACCCAUCAAUCAGGAGUUUUCUGGCCAACAUCAGCAAGGUCAUGUGCCACAUGGACCCCCUCCAUUCCCCAAAAGAUGGUGAGGUCGUCUGCACCAUAAUACCUCCUGCUGUUCCCCACCAGGGAGGGCGACUUUGCCUAAAACAAACCUUUCUUUUCUUUUGCUAAUAACUUUCUUGCUCCACCCUCCUUCCUAUAAAAACCUUCCAUUCUGUACAGCUGCUCAAGAGCAUCUCUCUACUUCUUUAGAUGGUAUUCUGCCUGGUUCAUGAAUGGAUUAAUAAAACCAGUCAGAUCUUCAUAUUUACCUCGUUGAAUUUUUGUUCUUUACCAAUUGCAAUACAGAUAUUUACAUAAAUUCAAUAGGAAUCCUUUCUCCUUAUAACAAAUCUAUAGUUAUUGCGUUGAUGUAAAUGAUGGGUCCUUGGGUUGGCUUCCUGACCACAAGAGGCUUUGCAGCAAAACAGACAUAAGAGAGCCUAUAUACACACAUCAAAGCUCAUCAAGCUGUACACUAAGAUUUGUGCAUUUUAUUGUAUCUCAAUAAAAAAAUUAAAAUAAAAUAGCCUACAUGGUCAACUGCUAUUCUUGCUAUACUUUGUAAAUAAACAGACUAAUUUUAAUGAGACUAGAGUUCAUUUGGAAACAAAUUAGUAUUGCUUUGAUUACCUUUGAGGGAAAUGGAGAUAACUGUAGGAAAAAAUAUGUUUCAUGUAAAGCUAUGAUGCACCCUUGUGAAUAUCAGAUUCUAGGGCUGUUAUUUGUCUUUGAGGUUUCUUUUCUACCUGUAAACUAGCUGGAUUCUGAGUUCUUCUAGCUUCCCCCAAUAUUUGGCUACAUCUCUUUAUACUAAUAUUUGCAAUUUUCUCCCACGUUGAACUAGGACCCACUAAAAACAAAAGCUGGUCUUUGCCCUGCAGCCCUAUGCCUGCAUGUAAAUGAGUUGGCAUAACCUUCAGGGACAUCAUAACUCAUGGCUAGAUGAUCUUCAUGCCUGUUUCCCUGUGGGCCGGUCAGUUUGCUUAAACACCCAAUGGCAUCAUCAGAGACACUCAAACUGCAAAAGAUGCUUCAGCCUUGACUUCCAGAAAUCUUAGCUGGCGGCCUCCUGGGCUCAGACACCAGUUUAUAAUUUGCUCCAGUCAUGCAUUAGCCUUGGUCUUUUGUUUGUUUCUACAGGAAUGCCACAUUACAUACCUGAUUUCUUGCACAAUAUAGGCCUAACUUUCAGAGCCAACUGCAUUACAACUUACUAUAACGAGAUACAACUGUUUAACUGAACUAACCUGUUUUCAAGAUUAUGAAAUUAAUUCAAUGAAAUAAUGAAUCAAUCUACUGACUUGGCUUAUGGAGUAUGACACUUUUUACAGUUUCACAGGCAAGACUAAAGGGGAACAGAAUAUAGCACCCCAAAAUAUGCCCCUCUGGCAUACUGAUUAAUUUGAAUUAAAGUUACUUAAGAAAUACCCAGUGUAAGAACACGGACUUUCUUGGAGCCUCUGAAAGCAGGAAUUGAGUUCCCCGUGUGAAACGUGUUCUCCCUGAACCAGGAGGGUAGAAGGCAUCUUAAUCACCAGACGUGGGGCAUCAACGAACCUUAUUACUGCUUCACCAGCUCACUACCCUAAGUCCAAAUCCCUUUGUCUUGUCAGUGCUUCACAGAUUUGUUUUCCUGUCUAAAAGGGAUAAAAACUGCCUUUUCUGGUCA